UGUGUUUAAAAUAAUUAUUGCGAUGUGCUUUUUGUGCUUUUGGGGGUACAUGCAUGUCUGUACAUAAAAACGAGGAUAACUUUAUAACGAUGUUUACUUGACUACUUUAAACCCCCUUUUAAUCCUGCAGAAGAGCUUUGCGCAUCACAACUUUUUCAAAAUCAGACGAGCACUCAAGUCCGAUAUUUAAAACUCUCAACAUGCUUAAAAUUCAUGAUUUGGUAUCUCAGAAUUUUGCACUUUUUAUGUAUGAAUAUUACCAUCAGCUUUUGCCAUCGGUACUUCAAAACUUUUUG